UACGUAGGGGGCUAGCGUUGUCCGGAUUUAUUGGGCGUAAAGAGCGUGUAGGCGGCCAGGUAGGUCUGGUGUGAAAACUCGAGGCUUAACCUCGAGAUGUCAUCGGAAACCAUCUGGCUAGAGUCCGGAAGAGGAGAGUGGAAUUCCUGGUGUAGCGGUGAAAUGCGCAGAUAUCAGGAAGAACACCAAUGGCGAAAGCAGCUCUCUGGGACGGUACUGACGCUGAGACGCGAAAGCGUGGGGGAGCGAACAGG
rnacentral:rRNA from 1 species